rnacentral:misc_RNA from 1 species
GAUGAAGAACGUAGCGAAAUGCGAUAAGUAAUGUGAAUUGCAGAAUUCAGUGAAUCAUCGAAUCUUUGAACGCACAUUGCGCCCGCCAGUAUUCUGGCGGGCAUGCCUGUUCGAGCGUCAUUACAACCCUCAGGCCCCCGGGCCUGGCGUUGGGGAUCGGCGGAAGCCCCCUGCGGGCACAACGCCGUCCCCCAAAUACAGUGGCGGUCCCGCCGCAGCUUCCAUUGCGUAGUAGCUAACACCUCGCAACUGGAGAGCGGCGCGGCCACGCCGUAAAACACCCAACUUCUGAAUGUUGACCUCGAAUCAGGUAGGAAUACCCGCUGAACUUAAGCAUAUUCAAUAAGCGGAGGA